rnacentral:lncRNA from 1 species
GUAGAUAACAUACAUAUGAAGCAUUCUGGUGCCAUGCUGUAAGCAUUAGCCAAGUAUAUUAAAUGCAUAAGCCCCAUUAAAGAUUUCAAAUAUUUUAAUUUAUGAUGCAUCAAGAUUUCUUCGUAAAAGGCUAGAUGGUAAGAUUCUAAUAUGAAUAUAUUGAAAACAUUGGAUUGAAGCUUUAUGAUAUGGCAUCCUGGUCCCUGUUUUCAUGCUGAAUAUUACUAGCCAAGCUUACUACCUGUCACCUACAAGGUUGUCAGAAGGCUUCUGAAGAGAAAUUUUUUUCUCUGGGGUGAAUUCACUAAGAUUGGCUGCCAUCAUGUCAUGGGCAAUCAUUUUUUGACUGUAGUAAGAGCUACUGUGGGUUGCCUCAUUUCAGUGUAGUUUAUGGAUGACUGGAUGAUAUGUUUGCAGUGAAACAGAACUUUGCUGCUGAUUUGAGGGUUAAUCCUCCAUUGCACAUGCAUGCUGUAUCAUGUACUUCCUAAUUGGCAAUUUUUGGUUGUGGCAUGAUAUUCAAAUGAAAGAUGUUUCAAGAAACAUUAAACCAAUGCUUCAUAAUCAGGCAGCCUGUUGCCAUGCUGUGGGAUGUUAGCUGAACCUCCUUCAAUGUGAAGGUUACUGUUUAACACUUUCAGAUUUUUCAAUGUGUUUAUUUAGGUAGUCAUUUGUUGAGGGUGAAAUUUGCAUUACUUCAGUGAUUUUGACAUGUUGCAGUGGAUGGCUAGGUUGCAUUGAGCCAAAACUCAUGAUGCUGAUUUGAGGGUUAAUUGAUCAUGCAAGCUGUUUCAUGUGGUUCUUAAUCAGAAAUUCUUGGUUUUGGUAUGAUAUUCAAGUAAACAAGGAGUCUAUUAUGCUGUUUGCCAUUAGCUGAUCCUGUUACAUGUUAAAGGUGUUUGGAGCCAUCUCUAAGUGAAGUUUUCUUUUCAAUUUGGUGAACUGGGGAACAACAUGCUGUACCUGGAAUGAAUCAAUCCCCUGAAACACUCCUAAUACAACCAGAAAAAUGCUAUAAACUGUGAAAGAGGAACAGAAAUUAUUCCUGUUUCUUUGUUGUCCCUAAACUUAUAUUUCUUCAUGUUCAAAUAUUUACAACAACAAAAAUGUUGGUAUUGUUUCUUUGUUUUCUGUGGUCAUGUUUCUUCAUGAUUUGUGAUAAACCAGUUGUGCUUAUGUUUUGGGUUUAACAUACUGAUAAUUGUUAAAUCUUCAAUAAAAAAUAUUGAAAAAUAA